rnacentral:rRNA from 1 species
AGGGUUUGAUUCUGGCUCAGGACGAACGCUGGCGGCAUGCCUAACACAUGCAAGUCGAACGGAGAUGUACGCCGACGAAGCUUCGGCAGAGUCAUGUGCAUCUCAGUGGCGGACGGGCGAGUAACGCGUGAGCAACCUGCCCUUCAGUGGGGAAUAACGGCUGGAAACGGUCGCUAAUACCGCAUAACGUAUCCGGAUGGCAUCGUCUGGAUACCAAAGGAGUAAUUCGCUGAAGGAUGGGCUCGCGUCCGAUUAGCUAGUUGGUGAGGUAAAGGCUCACCAAGGCGACGAUCGGUAGCCGAACUGAGAGGUUGAUCGGCCGCAUUGGGACUGAGACACGGCCCAG